GACGGACGCUGGCGGCGUGCUUAACACAUGCAAGUCGAACGGAAAGGCCCCAGCUUGCUGGGGUACUCGAGUGGCGAACGGGUGAGUAACACGUGGGUGAUCUGCCCUGCACUCUGGGAUAAGCCUGGGAAACUGGGUCUAAUACCGGAUAGGACCGUGCUUUAGUGUGUGCGGUGGAAAGUUUUUCGGUGCAGGAUGAGCCCGCGGCCUAUCAGCUUGUUGGUGGGGUAAUGGCCUACCAAGGCGGCGACGGGUAGCCGGCCUGAGAGGGUGUACGGCCACAUUGGGACUGAGACACGGCCCAGGCUCCUACGGGAGGCAGCAGUGGGGAAUAUUGCACAAUGGGCGCAAGCCUGAUGCAGCGACGCCGCGUGGGGGAUGACGGCCUUCGGGUUGUAAACCCCUUUCGGCAGGGACGAAGCUUUUGUGACGGUACCUGCAUAAGAAGCACCGGCUAACUACGUG
rnacentral:rRNA from 1 species